ensembl:misc_RNA 7SK 7SK RNA
GGAUGUGAGGGUAAUCUGGCUGUGGCAUCUGUCACCUCAAUGAUUGUCAGGGUUGAUAUGGCUGAUCUGGCUGUUUGGGUGGGUGUCCCCUUCUUCUCUCCCCAUUCCAUGUGCCUCCCUCUGGAAGCUGCACGCUGGGUCUCAGCAGCUGACUGCAUUCCCCACAGCGGAGGACCAUUCUUCUUCGGUCAAGGGCGUAUGAGUAGCUGCUCUCUUCUGCUAGAACCUCCAUACAAGCUCUCCAGGUGCAUUUGUAGGAGAUGUUGGGUAGUCAAGCUACCAUGACUCUGGACACAUCCAAAUGAGGUGCUGUAUGUGGCAGUCUGCCCCUUCUCUUU